rnacentral:rRNA from 1 species
UACGAAGGGGGCUAGCGUUGCUCGGAAUCACUGGGCGUAAAGCGCACGUAGGCGGAUGUUUAAGUCAGGGGUGAAAGCCUGGAGCUCAACUCCAGAACUGCCUUUGAUACUGGGCAUCUUGAGUCCGGAAGAGGUAAGUGGAACUGCGAGUGUAGAGGUGAAAUUCGUAGAUAUUCGCAAGAACACCAGUGGCGAAGGCGGCUUACUGGUCCGGUACUGACGCUGAGGUGCGAAAGCGUGGGGAGCAAACAGGG